rnacentral:rRNA from 1 species
UGAUCUCAAAUCAGGUAGGACUACCCGCUGAACUUAAGCAUAUCAAU